rnacentral:rRNA from 1 species
GUGGGGAAUCUUGCGCAAUGGGCGAAAGCCUGACGCAGCCAUGCCGCGUGAAUGAUGAAGGUCUUAGGAUUGUAAAAUUCUUUCACCGGGGACGAUAAUGACGGUACCCGGAGAAGAAGCCCCGGCUAACUUCGUGCCAGCAGCCGCGGUAAUACGAAGGGGGCUAGCGUUGCUCGGAAUUACUGGGCGUAAAGGGCGCGUAGGCGGACAGUUUAGUCAGAGGUGAAAGCCCAGGGCUCAACCUUGGAAUUGCCUUUGAUACUGGCUGUCUUGAGUACGGGAGAGGUGAGUGGAACUCCGAGUGUAGAGGUGAAAUUCGUAGAUAUUCAGAAGAACACCAGUGGCGAAGGCGACUCACUGGCCCAAUACUGACGCUGAGGCGCGAAAGCGUGGGGAGCAAACAGGAUUAGAAACCCGAGUAGUCC